rnacentral:misc_RNA from 1 species
UUGUGGAGGAGGACGCCGAAGGUGGGGCUAAUGACUGGGGUGAAGUCGUAACAAGGUAGCCGUACCGGAAGGUGCGGCUGGAUCACCUCCUAACAGGGAGACAACAAAAUGUUAAAUAUUAAUUUUGUCACCUUAGGUCGAUCGGUACCUCACAUUCUUAACUUAUUUAAGGAUUUUAUUUCCUAAGUUUUCUCUAGGUCACACCCAUUACUUUUCCUGGGCCAUUAGCUCAGGUGGUUAGAGCGCACCCCUGAUAAGGGUGAGGUCCCUGGUUCAAGUCCAGGAUGGCCCAUCUCUCUAUGUUGGGGGUAUAGCUCAGUUGGUAGAGCGCCUGCUUUGCAAGCAGGAUGUCAGCGGUUCGAGUCCGCUUACCUCCACUGAUCACCACCUCUUCCAUAUGUACAGAAAGGAAAUGUUUUGCGUUGUGAUCAAAUUCUGAACGAAUCUAGCUUCCUAAUCAAACUUAUUAAGAUGCUGGACUCAUUGAAUUAAAUUCAUUGUUUUCAGAGAACCUUGACAACUGCAUAGAUUAUUUUUAAAGACAAUAAGCAUCUUUAAUGAUGCAGAUUUAUUAUUUGUGCGAAUGCAUUAAUAACAAUUCUAUUAAGCUGAUGCUUCAUUUUGAAGUUAUUGGUCAAGCUACAA